rnacentral:lncRNA from 1 species
CACGCUCUCCAUCUCCUCCACCUUCAACUUCGCAAAGAGCCUAAAAACGCCGCCGGAUGACUCGGCGCUGGUGUCCCAGACAUCGAAAGCGAGCUUCGACUCGACGAUAUUGUUGUAGGAGCUGAUGUUGAAGGUCUUGACAUCCAUGGAGCCGUCGGAUUUCUUGUAGGUGAGCAGGGUCUGGGCCCCCUUCAUGCCGGUGCUCGUCGGAUUGAUGGCCCACGCGAUCCAGCCGUCGGAUUUGGCUGGAGUCGCGACGAAGGCGAUUGAGAGAGUGGAGUUGGACGAGUCGUAGGUCCAGUGGAGGUAGGAUUUGAGCGUGGGGAGGUCUACGCAGUUUGAGUAGAGCUUGUUGUUGGUGAAGGUUUGGGUGGUGCAGGUGAGUGAAUGCGCGGGUGAGAUUAACAAAACCAGAGCGAGCGUUAGCCCCAGAAAUGCCAGAGAAGGAGGAGAAGAAGAAGAAGAAGCCAUGGAUGAAUACGGAGAAGAAGAUGAGUAACUGCUAAGUAGUUGAUGCUGAUGAUGAAGAACAAAGGCUUCCCACUAAUUUUUGGCGGAAUUUAUAAAGAGAGAAGUGAGACAGCGAGAGAAGCAAAGGGUAAUUAUCGCUUGCGGGUGGAUCUACUCAAUGGAUUUUAGAAACCAUGUGAUGGACGCGUUAAAUAAUAAAGGAAUGGAGAUUGCAUGAGAGAACGAAAACACGAUUAAUACAAAAUAAAAAACAGAUCAGCAACAAAAAUUAAUGGAUUAUGUUCACUUAAUCUUCGCUUAAAUUCCGUAAACAUGUCCACUUUCAUGCAACGUGCAUUUUUAACUAUGGAGAUUUUUUUAUUUAUAGAUAAUGGAGUAAAUUUGGGGAAAAUAAAAAAAUCCCAAAAAUGAAAAAUUGCAAAUUUCCUAUCCAUUUUUGCACGGUUGGAUUUAUUAUUACUAAAGAAUCUGGCUGAUUAUAAUUGUAGAUUUUGGAAUUAUAUGCCAACCAAAGUGAUUUUUGGCCUACCAGAUGUGACUGGGAUGAGAUGAUGCAAGGCUUGUGUCAUGGUGACAUCAAUAUUCUUGUGUCUAUGUAUAGGAAAAUAAAAUUGCGACAGAUUUUUCUCCCAUACAAAUUGUUCAAUUGGUGAUGAAUAAGUUAACAAAUCAAAGUUAUUAGGAAGUAUUAGUUCGAGUCUAAGCAUCCGUGUACCGUGUAGUGUAUACGAGUUUAGUAUAUGUUGAAAAAAUUAAGUAUUACUUAUACGUCAUUAUUGAAUCAUGUGCAAUGCUUAAAACGAAUGUAUCCCUACUUAUACCGCGAAACCGAAAAAAACCAAUCUGAAUAUAUACAAGACAACAAACAGCCCAACCAAAAACGACAGCUAACGAAAACAAGGAAACAAACACCUACAAAAACAAAACCUGUAAAAGGAAAAAAAAAAUAGAAGCGAGGAAGAAGACGAAGCCCUUGAGAUUGUUCCGUUUUGAUUCGAUUAUAUAGGGUUCAUAAUAAAAGAUGCUUUCUUCAAUUCUUUUGUAGCAGAUUGAGUACAACUCUGCACAGAUUUGUCGUCAUUGUUUUGAAACUGGUAACGACGAAAAGUCUUGUGCAAAUUACAAAUGGAAUUCCUUUUUUUUUUUUUUAAAUGACGAGAGGCCAGAAAAAGAAAAAACACACAAAAAUGAGUGUUUGAAAGCAAACGCGUGAAAAGGGAAGAAAAGAAAGUGUCGUUUUGGUGCGUUCCUUCCAAUUAUUUAUGCAAGAGGGCAAGAACUAGUAGCUAGCCAUCUAAGUAUAAGUUUAUCUGGGUAGGGUACGUGUGGAGUACACAAAAGCAAGGGCAGUGGUUGACACGGGACCGGACAAAUUUGUAUUUUAUUUUUGACAUAUUUAACCCUUGCCUAAUUAAAUACAAACGAGUAUUUAGGGGGCGUUUGUAUCCUAUUCAAAUUAGGGAACUUGAAAACUUUGAUUUUUCUUAAAAACAAGGAGUUCAAAAACUUGUUUGGUAUGCAACUUGAAAACUAUUUUUAAAUCUUAAAAAUUUGAGAACUUAUGGGUUGUUAGAAAAAAAAAACUAAAAAAACAUAUAUUUUUUGCUUUUAAUAAUUGGGGUAUUUUUUAGUUGUUCUUGAGUUUGAGUUUUUAAAAAUAAGGCUACCAAACAAGUUUUCUUUAUUUUGAACUCAAAUUCUAUUUUGAAUUUAAAAAGUUCAAUUCAAGUUGAAUACUAAACAGGCCCUAAGUUAUUUAAAAAAAGAAUUUUACUAGUGUGAGUUGUCCACACGCUUCAUAUCCGAAACUUAACUAUUAAUGUUAGUCUACACGUCUUAAUGGUUAGAAAUCGCUUUUAAUGCGACGGUUAUGGGAAUAGUGUCAAUGGAAAAAUCUCUGAUUUUCACCAUAAAUAUUAAAAUUUAGACGUGACAAGCAUUUCCUUUUAACGUUCACUUUCUAAUUUAAUUGACAUUUUUGGUUUGUCAAUUAUCACCUUCUUUUUUUUUUAUAAAUCAAUUGGGAAUUUAUAAAUAUCAUGGAAUAUAUAUAUAAAAAUAUUAUUCCACUUAAACGUGCUGAGACCUCCAUCUCUCACUUUGAUACAAUCAAUCACAAUAUUAAGGAAGAAUAAAAACCCGACCCGAAAUACUAAAUUUAGAUUGCAAUGAGAGCUCCAAGAACCAAAACCGAAACAGACAACACACCCAUGUUUCCUCCACUCCCAAUCCUCAAAGCUCCGCUACCACCACCACCAGUGCUGUUGGCGGUGGAAUUAGCACCAACGGGAGUGCCCGUGGUGGAAUUGGCCAUCAAGUACAAGGUGCUAAACGACUGGAGAUUGGGUGGGGCGAAGUCAUGCUUCACGGGGAAGCCGGAGGUCUUGUUGAUGGCGGGGCCCAACUGCCAGACCUGGUUCACGGACGCUGCGUCUUUUGGGACCUUGACGGAGGCGAAUAUCGUGAACGUGCCUUUGGAGAACUCCGCGCUGACGUCCCAUACGUCGAACGCGAGUUUUCCCGGCACAAUGGAGCUGUACGAGGUGAUGUUGAAUGUUUUGACGACUGGGGCUCCAUCCUCGGUUUUGUAGGCCAGGAGGGUCUGGGCCCCAGCCAUCUUGGCGGCGGUGGGGUUGAUGGCCCACGCCACCCAGCCUUCAGAUUUGGACGGCGUCGCCACGAAGGCGAUGGAGAGAGAGGAAUUGGAGGCAUUGUAGGUCCAGUGGAGGUAGGAGCUGAGGAAGGGGAGGUCGCUGCAGUUGGGGUAGAGCUUGUUGUUCUUGAAUGUCUGUGAGCUGCAGGUGGCUGCCUGUGCUGGUGAUAUUACCAGAGCCAGGAGGGAGAUCCAUGAGACUGAGACAAGAAGAAGAAGAUGAAGAGAGGAAGCCAUUAUUGGAGAAUAUGGAGAGAGAGAUUGGCUGUGAAUUGAAAAAGGGAGAGAGAUGUUCUGCUGAAUGUAAAGGUUGUGGGAGAAUUUAUAUUGAAAAUAAAUUGUUAGAUGUAUUCGAUAUAUCACGUGAUAUGCUGAUAUUGCGGAUGUACAGGAUAAUUUCUCUACAUAUUGGUUUUGAUUGUAUGGUUUCGUUGUAAUCGGUUGCAUACAAUUAUUUUUUUAUACGUAAAUAAACCAAUAGUAGUUGUAUGCAACCCAUUUUUUCAUAUGCAACUGCUCAUUUUAUAUCACAGUCAAUCAGUACAGUUGUAUACAACGAGUGAUGAAAAAAAUGGAGAAAAAUAAGUCACACACACUAAAUGAGAAAUAAAAAAUUAAGAAAGUAUAAGUUAAGGAACUAUUUCGAUAAAAAAAAUUCUUAUAUUGUAUUAUUUGUUUAAAGUCAAUGAAAAAAAAACAACAACGUGUUCAUAAGAUUAGGAUUACUCAUACAUACGACCUUAUUCAAUCAUGUGCAAUGUUCUAAAACGAAAAGUAUAUUAUUUUUGUAGUACAAAUAUAUGCGUACGUAAAUCGAACACCUACAGCUACAAAAACAAAACCAGUAGAAGAAGACGAACCUUGAUGCCCUUGAGGUUGUUCUUGUUCCAUUACGUAGGGUUCAUAAUAAAAGAUUAGUUCUUUCUUUUCCGGUAGAUAGGGUACAACUCUGCCUCGUGCAAAUUGCAAAUGAAUUAUAUAUUUUUGAUGAUGACAUUGACAGCCCAGAAGGAACAAAGAAAACACAGAAAAAAUUUGGCUCGUUAAAAUUGAGGAGGAGAUCCUCUUACAACUAAUGUGAUUUUGACGAGUGUUAAAUUAUUUUAAUAUUCUUUUUUUUUUUUGUUGAAAUUUUGUCAAUGUUGCCAAAUUUUGACAAAUGUCAAAACUCCAUUAGUUUUAAAAAGAAACUCCUCCUCAAUUUUAAAGAGUAAUGUCUUGCUCCACAAAAAUUUGUGUUUGAAACUGUCCUUCUACCUGCCCUUGUGGUUAAGUGCGCAUGCACUAAUUCCUAGUAGUCUUGGGUUCGAAGGUUGGUACCACAUUCUCUACAAUAUUAGGGGUCGUUUGGCAUAGCGGACUGUCAUGGACUGGACUAAAUCAUGUGACUGUCUCAUAUUAGCUUGGAUUGGCCUAAGCUGGAUUAAGUACUGACCUACAUUUAGUGCUGCGUCGGACUAAGAAGCUAGAUUGUAAAAAUAGUGAAGACCUUGGCGAUGUGUCGGACUAAAAAAUAAUUCUUAUAAUAUUUAAAUUUAAUUGGGGGUUUUGACCUAAAAGAUAAAUAAAUGCUAUAAAGAAACCCAAUUCAAAGAUUUAUAACAAUAUCUGGUAAAAAAAAGAAGAAAGAAUUAAAACAAUAAUAAAAAGAAAACAAAUAAUUUUUUUUUUUAUGAAGAAUAAAAUUAUGAUAUUUAUUUUUUGACUUCUCAAGAUUAAUCUUAAGUUUUUCGGGGACCAAGUAAAAUAAUAAUUAAUUUUAUAUAUUUAUGUAUAUGUAUAAUUUUUGUAUAUUUGACUUUUGACUUUAAACUGAAAAAUAUAAUUUAACAAGGUAAAAAUUGCUUGUGAUAAAGAAAGCAUCACAUCAUGAAUUAUUAAACUUGUUUGAAUAUUAAAAAAAAUCAAACAUUUGUAAAUUACUAUAGUUCGAUUUUCCAAAUGCAAUUUUAAAAUAAUUAUUGUAAUAUUUAAAUUUAAUUAAGGAUUUUAAUCUUUAAAAAAAAUAAAUGCUGCAAAAAAAAAAACCAUUCAAAGAUCUAAAACAAUAAUUAAAAGAAAACAAAUAAAAUUAUGAUAUUUUUUAAAGAGAGGCGUCAGACUCAUGUGUUUUAUUUAGCGAACCACUUUUCAGGCUCACUAUAUUAGAUGAGAGAGUAAGACUUGUUUUUCAAUAUUGGCCUAUACAGUCUCAUUUAAGUUAGUCAUGUCUCUUACUAAACAAGGAUUUCGAGUGCUAUUUAACCCAAUCCAAUGCAAUGAGGCAUACCAAACAUGAUCUUGGUGUUUAAAACCAAACCCGUAAAAAACGCGAAAAAAAAUUUGUCGUUUUUGUGCUUUCCAAUUAUUUAUGCAAGAAGCCUUCUUUUAACUAUAAGAUAAAUGAGGUGGGGUACGUGGAGGACACAAAAGCGAAGGCGGUGGGACUAGUGGAAGACUCCGGACCCAAAACCCCUGCUUAAUUAAUUGACAAGUAUUAAUAAAUUAUUUUGUUAGCAUGAGUCGUCCACACGUUUAUAGUCGGCUAGAAUUUAACUAUUGAUACUAAGCAUCCACACUUCUCAAAGGUAAAAAAUCCCAAAGUCUGUAUCGUUCAUGCAUAGUGUUAAUUUGACUGUCAUGUGAAUAUUAUGCGAAUGGAAAGAUCACUGGUUUUUGAAAUACCAUAAAGAUCGAAAUAUUUACAUGGCAAUCAUUUCCCUUUAACGUUCCCUUUCUAAUCUAAUUGACCUUUUUGGUUUGUCAAUAAUCACUAUCUUUAUUUUUAUUUUAUUUUUAAAAAUCAAGGUACAAUGAGGCCCCAAAAUUACUCAAGUAACAAUGUUAAAAAAUGGACGGACGAAGGUUAGGUGAAUUGGUAAAGUAUUCUACCUGCGUCUAGCACUUGAGUUUAAUUCCCCUCUUGGUACAUUAUAAUAAUUUAAAAUUUUGCUUUAUAAUUAAAAACAAAAUGUCAAAUAUUAAAAGAAAGAAAAAAGAGACCAACGUGAAAAUAAAGGAAAAUAUUAAACUAAAUUAAAUGGUACAAGCAUUUCCUCUCAUCAAGAUCCACCCUAUUAAUUAAUGACCAACUAGAGCCAUCUCUUUUUCUCUCAUCGAUCCAAGAUGCAGAUGAGGAGGAGAGAUAAUUUAAAUCAAUGGGGAAAUCAUAAAUAUCAUGGAAUAUAUAAUAAAUAUUUCCACCUAAAAGUGUUGACAUCUCCAUCUCCCACUUGGACUCAUCAAUAAGAAAAAAAAUUUAUAAAUUAAAAAAAAAAACUAAAUUUAGAGAGCAAUGAGAGCUCCAAGAACCAAAAGCGAAACAGAGAACAAUCCCAUGUUUCCUCCACUCCCAAUCCUCAAGGCUCCGCUACCACCACCACCAGUGCUAUUGGUAGUGGUAUUAGUACCAGCGGGAGUGCCCGUAGUGGAAUUUGUGGUAGUAGUGGAAUUGGCCCCCAAGGACAAGGUGCCAAACGACUUGAGAUUGGGUGGGGCGACGUCAUGCUUCUCGGGGAAACCGGAGGUCUUGUUGACGGCGGAGCCCACCUGCCAGACCUGGUUCACUGAUGCCGCGUCCUUCGGGACCUUGACGGUGGCGAAGAUCGUGAAGGUGUCGUUGGAAAACUCCGCGCUGACGUCCCAGACUUCGAACGAGAGUUUUCCCGGCACGAUGGAGCUGUACGAGGAGAUGUUCAAUGUGUUGACGGCUGGUGCCCCGUUCUCGGUCUUGUAGGCUAAGAGGGUCUGGGCCCCAGCCAUCUUGGUCUCGGUGGGGUUGAUGGCCCACGCGACCCAGCCGUCAGAUUUGGCCGGCUUCGCCACGAAGGCGACGGAGAGAGAGGAGUUGGAGGCAUUGUAGGUCCAGUGGAGGUAGGAGCUGAGGAAGGGGAGGUCGCUGCAGUGGGCGUAGAGCUUGUUUUUCUUGAAUGUCUGUGAGGUGCAGGUGGCUGCUUGCGCGGGUGAGAUUAGCAGAGCCAGGAGGGAGAUCCACGAGACUGAGACAAGAAGAACGGGAUGAAGAGAGGAAGCCAUUAUUGGAGAAUAUGGAGAGAGAGAG